AUCGACGUAGAAGGCGCGGUCGAGGCUGUAGCCUUCGCGACGGGUCUUCAGCUU
rnacentral:sRNA from 1 species